rnacentral:rRNA from 1 species
UACGUAGGGGGCAAGCGUUGUCCGGAAUCAUUGGGCGUAAAGAGCGUGUAGGCGGCCCGAUAAGUCUGCCGUGAAAGUCCAGGGCUCAACCCUGGAAUGCCGGUGGAAACUGUCGGGCUGGAGUCCGGAAGAGGCGAGUGGAAUUCCUGGUGUAGCGGUGAAAUGCGCAGAUAUCAGGAGGAACACCGAUGGCGAAGGCAGCUCGCUGGGACGGUACUGACGCUGAGACGCGAAAGCGUGGGGAGCAAACAGG